rnacentral:rRNA from 1 species
UACGUAGGAGACGAGCGUUGUCCGGAAUCACUGGGCGUAAAGCGCGUGUAGGCGGAUGAGCAAGUCUGCUGUGAAAGCUCCUGGCUUAACCGGGAGUGGUCGGUGGAAACUGCUCGUCUGGAGGACGGUAGAGGCUGGUGGAAUUCCCGGUGUAGUGGUGAAAUGCGUAGAGAUCGGGAGGAACACCUGUGGCGAAGGCGGCCAGCUGGGCCGGACCUGACGCUGAGACGCGAAGGCGUGGGGAGCGAACGGG